GUUUGUAUUUGUGACUGCCAUUGCACAUAGAUCUAAUGUCUUCAGAGAGCAGUCCUCAAAGAUGCUUAGGUCAUCUUUUCCUGAACUUUCACAGUUAGUUUAUAACUCAUAUGCAUAUCUGCAUAGUUCAUAUUGUUCCUUCCGGCAUGAACUUCCUUGUACUUGUCCAUGUUGCGUUUCAUCUGCCAUUCAGAUCACCUAUCUUUGUUGGAUCCUUUUGGAGUUCCCUAGAGACACGUUUAGGCCUGACUAAUCUAAACAGUUUGGACAUCUAUAAACUUUUCCAUCUCAUUGUUCAUUGCCACUCUUCUUCAAGUUCACUAAUAUGCUAACUAACACCAGUCGUAGUAUAAAUGUUUUGGGCAACCCUGUUAACUUUCUUUCAUGUUGAAAAUUGACCAUUUAUACCUGAACUUGGUUUUCUGCAUUGUAACCAGUUUCUGAUCUGACAGAAUUUAUUAAUUUCUUCACUUACCUUUUAUAAGCCAUCAUUUGGGCAUUGGCUUACUGCCCUUUCUCUGUCUUCUCUGUGACACCACCAGCUAGCUCAACACGUAACCUGUGGGUGCAGGAGAGAUCAGCUGGUAGAUGACUGGCCCAGCAAGAUAGCAGGGAUCAGGCAACAACCAUGCUGCUGCUCCUGGCUACCUGUUCUGCAGACUAGGUGAUGAGUACACCCCUUUGACUGACAAAUGGGCCCAGGUCUGCAGAAGAAUGGAUCUGGCUUUAAGCUGCAUCUGGGCCACAGCAAAUUCACUUUAUUUUUAGGUGUCUUUAACCUUACCCUGAAUAGGAAAUAACUGCCCUCCUGCUAUGGCUUCCCUGCUAUCUGCAGGGCAUUUUUGCAUGGUUGCAGGUCACUGCACAGAUAAACUGGCUCACAGUUAAUGACAGCCAGAUAUUUACAGAUGUUCCAGGUUUUGUGUGUAGAUCUUUGUGGACUCGCAAUUUGAAACUUAAUUCUUGUGUACAUUUGCCAGUAAGAGGAAAUUACCUACCCCUGUAUUAUACAGGCAUCAUUUUGUCUUGUGUUUUAUUCCUUACAACUACAAAAUCCAAAAGUUCAGUUAUCCAGAUGUUAAAUACAAUUUACAUAACUUGCAUGUCCAACAGGUCAGUUUUGCCUGUUAAGGUGGCACUUGUUUGAGGUGUGUUGUUUUUUUCCCUGCUCUGGCAGGCUACAGAACAACACAAUAUUUGGGGGGGGGGGGGUUUCCCCUGAAUUUCUUAAGCGUAUGUGAAAGGAAAACAUUCUCCCAGACUUCCAUUCCACCUCUGUUCCUCUUAUGGGCAUCCUGGGACCGAAACCACCUCCUGGUUGCUGCACGGUUCCUCCUAGUAAAGUACCACAAUACAGUUCAUUGGCUGGUGUUUCAGUUCAGCAACGUACUAGGUCACACAAAUGUCUUCUAUCUCCACCAUCAAAGCUUUGUGGAUUUUUUUGUUAUUAAUGAAGCUCAGCUCUUACCUGGUUCUUCUGGAAGAGUGCCCUCAUUUAACUAUGCAAUUCCUGACCUGACCAGGAACAAUGACAAUUACUCCUACCAUCUGGGCAAGCAUGAAGAAGUUAAACUUCUUGUUAACUUACAACAAGCACAGGUCCAAUAUGUUUCACUCUAACUACCUACCUUCAUACAUAGGGGAAGGAGAGAAUUGGUUUCUCAAAGCAGUCAGAACGUUUUUAAGAUUUGAAAUAUAUAUUGUAUGUCAAUUUGCAGUUUUACUGGCACUGCUGAUUUUUGUGAUGUAAAAAAAUACAGCAUCCAUCUUGAUGAUAAUACAUUUUGAAAUGUAAAGAGGACAUGAAAUCUAAUAAUAAUUCCUGCUGGUUAUUGUUUCCCUGAAACAAUAAAGUACUCUUCCUCCCUCAUCUCUCCAAAAGCAGGUGACUUAUGAUGUUGACAGAACUCAGUAAAAUCUCAGAAUUAAUUGUGGGGAAUUUCCACAUCAAAAUAUGGGCUGCUGUCUGCAGAAGUCUCCUGUUAGUAGUAAUAUAAAUAGUGGUGAUAAAUAAAUUCAGCAUCCUAACUCUACCUGCAUAAGAGAGAUUUGUAUUGGCGUUUAAAGAAGGUAACUAGUGCACCUUCCCAGACACCAAGCAUCUGCAGAAACCCUUUUUCCUUACAGCAGACUAUUAAGGUGUUUGUUCUCUUAAAAUAAUUAGAAGAAGAAGGUGAGUCGCUGAUUUAGUCUAGAGGCUUGUGGUUGGAUUUUUUUUUAAGCUUGGCUGUGAUGAAAUUUUUACUGUAGCUCUGUGUUAAACUGUUGACAAACUAAAUGAAUUCCCAGCUGUUAUCUUCUAGUUCGCGCAUGAACCAUGCUACAAGAAAUCUUAGAUACAAAUCUACUCUAACUUGAUUCUCAACUGCUUUUACUAAGCAUCUCUUUUCCUAGCCACAGAAUUCCUUCUGCCCACAGCAACCUUGUUAAGUGACCAUUAAACACAAAGAGGGAGAAAUGACUUCUCUUAUGGCUAAGGCACUGAACUGGAGAUUAGGAGAGUGUGUUCAGUUUCCAGCUUUGCCACAGACUUCUUGUGUGAUUUGGACCUGUAUGCCAUUUUGCACAAGGGGAUAAUAACCCUCCCUACCUCACAGGGGUCUUGAGAGGGUACAGUAAAUUUAAAAAAAAAAAAAAAAAAAACUUGGGACGUGCUCAGGUACUACUGUUCUGAUUGGGGUAUUGUAAGUACCUACAACCACAGUCAGCCCUCUCAAAAGGAACACACCAGACUAAACAAUGAAGAAGUGGAAGCCUCCAGACAACAUUUUAGAAGCAUCAGAAUUAAUCAAAAAUGCAUGUUAGUGGUUAGGUUUUGACAGCCAAAGUGACCACUAAUUUCACAAAAGGUCAUGCUCUUUCAUGUGUAGGCUUACAUGCCAGUCAUUCAGUGUUUUCUCUGUGAAUUUCUAGUUUCUGUAGCAUGCCCCAACAGAGAGCACUGGUGUACUGACUCCCUCUCCAGAAUCUAUGAAAAUGAUUUUAUCUCAUUAAUCACAUCAACCACCAUUAACACAGAUAACAUGUCUGCUGGCAUGGUGGGACAUAAUAACAGGUGUGUCAGCCUCCACUUCCAUUCAAACCUGGUUGAGGUCCAUGAUCGCUUAUCUGGUCUGGUAAUGUAUCGUCUGCACCUGAAACAGUGUGGGGAAGAGGUGGGAGUGGCAGAGGAAAGCCUGUGAGUUCUUUGCUACUAAGUAGUAGGGCCGUGUGUCUCUGAAACGGAGCUUCAGGAAGAUGUACAGUAAUGAUAUUGCACUUUUCAUUGCAUGGAUGUAGUCUGGAAGGCCCAUCUUGGGUGGCCAAUUGUGUUUUCUGGAAACCUUCAUUGCCAAGUCCUCCUGUUUAUUUUCAGGGAUGACCUUUUGGAUCACUUACUCGAGCAUUUCUGCAGGUACUUUCUCUACUUGUAUUGGCUUCCAGAGUUGUUUGAAAGAGCUUCAAGAAGCCACUGAUGCCAGGCAGAGAACUAAGUUAUUCAUGCUAGUGUAACCGCACAGGGACCUGUACUUAUACGUCAUACUUUCAGACUCUCCAAUUUGAGCUGCUUCUGGGUUUCAACAUGGUACCUCUUUGUCAGGAUGGCCUGUCCUCUGGCCUUAACAUAUCUGCCCAGAAACUGGUAUCAACAGUGAUGGUCCCAAUUUAUGCCUUAACCAGAAAGCAUGUUAAAGACUUGACUGGAGCGCGCAAUGCUUGUGGAUUCAUAGCAUUGCUUUGGCUGUGGUCCUCCUUUCAAAUGCUAUCAAUCCAAUGCUGGUCUGCACAGUUGCUGAUCUCCCAGUAGUGAAACCCUUGCUGUUUUAGGUUACCUGUAUGUGUGGGCAUGAACAACCAGUGUUCUGAUUUUCCACGCAUUCUUGCUAAGUAUACAGUAACACAAUAUUGUAGGUCUCUCUAUAACAAGCAAUUUUUAAAAAAUAUGUUGAUGGAAGAAGAGUGAAGAACUACAGAUUAUUAAGGUAAAGCAAGUGGUUAGCACCCAAUUUUGAGAACUUUGGAAAAAGGGAUAUAUAAUUUCUCAGAUGCACAAUCCAUGCUCAAGGUGUUGAAGACCUAGCUUCAUUCAUAUCCUCCUGCCUGUCCAUUAUGUAAUGGACCACUAAAAAGAGACACAUGAUGUAGGGUGCUGAAGAGUGGCCACACAAUUUUUUUUUGCUGUUUGCAUUUUUACCAUGCAUUACGGUAUGCCUUUUUCACAGUGAUGGUAUUCAUUUAUUUCCAGUUCUUCCUUUCUCCGACAGUAAGAUUAAAAAGGAAAUCAAUACCAUUAUACAGAAUGAGCUCACAACCCAGAAACACACAGGUCUGUGCCUAUAAUAUGUAUUGUACAUCUUCAAUGUCUGCAUUUCUCAAGUCCACUCCAGAGACAGUGCACUGCAAGCAUGAAUGGAAACAUAGAAAGCUAAGGUACUGUAAAAUACAGCAAAGAGUCUGCACAACACAGCAGCCAGUUAUGUUAGCUCAAAGUUGAAUGCCAUUGGCAGUCUUAACAAAUGUAUCCGCUCCUCCCCACAGGCACUGUCCUAUGGUCAGAUACUGAUGAAGAAGAAUGGUUGCCCCAAGCAAGAAGGGACGAUGCAGUAGAGGAAUUACAAACAGGAGUAUUUUGAACCAAGUCUCAGCCACAGUUGACCCGAUGUACAUAAAAUUUGACCGUGUUUUUCCAAGAAAACAACUCAAAUCAUAUUGUGGCUGCUGCAUUCAUUGCUGCCUGAGGGCUACACUGAGUGUGCACCCCAGCCAAGUCGUCAUAUCUCAACUCAGUCAAGCUAUUAUGGCUCCAUAUGAAGCACUACAUUUGGACGCAUGCAAAACUGACAUCAGAAGAAUUUGUGCAACCACGUAGAGAGUAACCAAGCCAGCCUUCUGAAUAGGGAAAUCUGCGGCUUGUCGUCUGGUGACCAUCUUGAAGAAGGUGCUGCCUGUGAUCAUAGCAAAGCAAGGUUCAGCCAGAGGCAUGUAAUAUACAGUGCUCAAUAAAUGAAUUUAAAAAAGCUGUCUAUACUGUUUAUCUUUAUUUGG